GAUGAACGCUGGCGGCGUGCCUAAUACAUGCAAGUCGAGCGAAUGGAUUAAGAGCUUGCUCUUAUGAAGUUAGCGGCGGACGGGUGAGUAACACGUGGGUAACCUGCCCAUAAGACUGGGAUAACUCCGGGAAACCGGGGCUAAUACCGGAUAACAUUUUGAACCGCAUGGUUCGAAAUUGAAAGGCGGCUUCGGCUGUCACUUAUGGAUGGACCCGCGUCGCAUUAGCUAGUUGGUGAGGUAACGGCUCACCAAGGCAACGAUGCGUAGCCGACCUGGGGGGGUGAUCGGCCACACUGGGACUGAGACACGGCCCAGACUCCUGCGGGGGGCAGCAGUAGGGAAUCUUCCGCAAUGGACGAAAGUCUGACGGAGCAACGCCGCGUGAGUGAUGAAGGCUUUCGGGUCGUAAAACUCUGUUGUUAGGGAAGAACAAGUGCUAGUUGAAUAAGCUGGCACCUUGACGGUACCUAACCAGAAAGCCACGGCUAACUACGUGCCAGCCGCCGCCGUAA
rnacentral:rRNA from 1 species